rnacentral:rRNA from 1 species
AGAGUUUGAUCCUGGCUCAGGAUGAACGCUAGCGGCAGGCCUAAUACAUGCAAGUCGAGGGGUAACAGGAAGUGCUUGCACUUCGCUGACGACCGGCGCACGGGUGAGUAUCGCGUAUACAAUCUGCCUCAUACUAGGGAAUAGCCCGAAGAAAUUUGGAUUAAUGCCCUAUAGUAUCUUUUUAAGGCAUCUUAUUAAGAUUAAAGGUUACGGUAUGAGAUGAGUAUGCGUUCUAUUAGCUAGUAGGUGUGGUAACGGCACACCUAGGCUACGAUAGAUAGGGGCCCUGAGAGGGGGAUCCCCCACACUGGUACUGAGACACGGACCAGACUCCUACGGGAGGCAGCAGUAAGGAAUAUUGGUCAAUGGACGAAAGUCUGAACCAGCCAUGCCGCGUGCAGGAUGACUGCCCUAUGGGUUGUAAACUGCUUUUAUAUAGGAAGAAAAACUUUCUCGUGAGAAAGCUUGACGGUACUAUAAGAAUAAGGAUCGGCUAACUCCGUGCCAGCAGCCGCGGUAAUACGGAGGAUCCAAGCGUUAUCCGGAAUCAUUGGGUUUAAAGGGUCCGUAGGUGGACAAAUAAGUCAGAGGUGAAAUCCUGCAGCUCAACUGUAGAACUGCCUUUGAUACUGUUUGUCUUGAGUUAUUAUGAAGUGGUUAGAAUGUGUAGUGUAGCGGUGAAAUGCAUAGAUAUUACACAGAAUACCGAUUGCGAAGGCAGAUCACUAAUAAUCAACUGACACUGAUGGACGAAAGCGUGGGUAGCGAACAGGAUUAGAUACCCUGGUAGUCCACGCCGUAAACGAUGGUCACUAGCUGUUUGGACUUCGGUCUGAGUGGCUAAGCGAAAGUGAUAAGUGACCCACCUGGGGAGUACGUUCGCAAGAAUGAAACUCAAAGGAAUUGACGG